UACAGAGGGUGCAAGCGUUGUUCGGAAUUACUGGGCGUAAAGCGCGUGUAGGUGGCGAUGUAAGUCGGGUGUGAAAUCCCUUGGCUCAACCAAGGAAGUGCACUCGAUACUGUGUCGCUUGAGUACUGGAGGGGAUGGCGGAAUUCCCGGUGUAGAGGUGAAAUUCGUAGAUAUCGGGAGGAACACCUGUGGCGAAGGCGGCCAUCUGGACAGUCACUGACACUGAGACGCGAAAGCGUGGGUAGCAAACAGG
rnacentral:rRNA from 1 species